ensembl:snRNA U6 U6 spliceosomal RNA
GUGUUCGCUUCGGCAGCAGAUAUACUCAAAUUGGAACAAUACAGAGAGGAUUAGCAUGGCCCCUGAGCGAGGACGACAUGCAAAUUCAUAAAGCGUUCCCUUAAAAA